CGCCUCUUCCUUCUGGACACCAUGUCUUCUCUUUACUGAGCGGAUGUGGGGGCCAGAUCGUUCACUUUGAACAAAUUAGAGUGUUCAAAGCAGGCCUCCGCCUGAAUACUUGAGCAUGGAAUGAUAUCAAUAGGUUCUUCCUUCUCGUUUAUUGGUGAUGAGAAGGAAGAAAAUGAGAAAGGGGAAUGGUUGGGGCCAUUCGUACUGCAGCGUUAGAGGUGAAAUUCUUGGAUCGCUGCAAGACGAACAACAGCGAAAGCAUUUGGCAAGAACGUUUCCACCGGUCAAGAACGAAAGUUAAGGGAUCGAAGACGAUCAGAUACCGUCGUAGUCUUAACCAUAAACUAUGCCGACUAGAGAUCGGUGGAUGUUAUUCUAUGACUCCAUCAGCAUCUUAUGAGAAAUCAAAGUCUUUGGGUUCCGGGGGGAGUAUGGUCGCAAGGCUGAAACUUAAAGGAAUUGACGGAAGGGCACCACCAGGAGU
rnacentral:rRNA from 1 species